CCUGGAGAACAUUUUGAGAGAGGUACAUGUUUUGUUGAUUCUCCAUUCAUUAUUUGCUUAACAUUCAAGCUGGCUUUGUAUUUAGUACCUUAGGUUGAACUAGAUGCACGCAGUGGAUAUUGAAUGUCAUAAGGUCACUGUUUAAAAUGUCAUAACAGAAUUUUUAUUCCAUUUCUAGUUCUCUACUUUGUAUACCAAGAUAUGGUGUCUGGUCACUUGAAACUAAAAGCCUAUCUAUGGUGCUCAUCUUCAAGUGACUGGCAAAUAAUGAUGGAAGAUUUUAGUGACAUGAACAUUAUGUAAUCUAUGUGCUUAUAUCUAAUCUGUCUAAUAGUCAUGUAUGUUCUUGCUUAUGUUGUAAUGGGCAUACUUAGGGGCUGUUUGAUUUAACAGUUGGAUACAAUUAAUGGCUGAUAGUUGAUAACUGUUAUUGUUAGUCGAUAGCUGAUAACUGAUAGCUGGUGUUAGUCUAUUUAUAUUAAGUAUUUGGUAAAAUUAUAUUAGCUGUUGCUGUUCAUACGUAAAAUGACCAAUAAGGU
rnacentral:misc_RNA from 1 species